rnacentral:rRNA from 1 species
GUGCCAGCAGCCGCGGUAAUACCGGCAGCACGAGUGAUGGCCGAUAUUAUUGGGCCUAAAGCGUCCGUAGCUGGCCGGACAAGUCCGUUGGGAAAUCCACUUGCCCAACAGGUGGGCGUCCGGCGGAAACUGUGUGGCUUGGAACCGGAAGGCUCAGAGGGUACGUCCGGGGUAGGAGUGAAAUCCCGUAAUCCCGGACGGACCACCGAUGGCGAAAGCACUCUGAGAAGACGGCUUCGACAGUGAGGGACGAAAGCUAGGGUCUCAAACCGGAUUAGAAACCCUGGUAGUCC